rnacentral:rRNA from 1 species
AUUGAACGCUGGCGGCAGGCCUAACACAUGCAAGUCGAACGAGUGGCGGACGGGUGAGUAAUGUCUGGGAAACUGCCUGAGGGAGGGGGAUAACUACUGGAAACGGUAGCUAAUACCGCAUACCAUCAGAUGUGCCCAGAUGGGAUUAGCUAGUGGGGGGGGUAACGGCGCACAAAGGCGACGAGCCCUAGCUGGUCGUAGAGGAUGACCAGCCACACUGGGACUGAGACACGGUCCAGACGCCUACGGGAGGCAGCAGUGGGGAAUAUUGCACAAUGGGCGCAAGCCUGAUGCAGCCAUGCCGCGUGUAUGAAGAAGGCCUUCGGGUUGUAAAGUACUUUCAGCGGGGAGGCGUUACCGGCAGAAGAAGCACCGGCUAACUCCGUGCCAGCCGCCGCGGUAAUUG